GUCUUUUUGCCUUUUCUUCCUUGAGCUGCUCCUGCUACAUGUGGAGGUUCCCAGGCUAGGGAAGUGGCCCAAGAAAAUGGCAAAAAGAUACACACACACACACAAAAUCGCAGGGAGGGAUGGUCUUGGUAAGGGGAGACGCAUAUACAACAACCAUGCAAUGAGCCUCCCUCCAUUCCCUACACUUCUUGUCACAUGGCGUAGAGACGGGGCUCUAACGUGGGUCUCAGGAACCAACCACGCCACAGAUCUCUCGGGGUCUCAGUUUUCCUAUCUGUAAAAUGGUAACAAGAGCAAUAACACUUAUUUCGUAGGACUGCUUCGACCAUAUGAUGGUUUAUCUCAAAUGCUCGGUUUACUUCCUGGUAGACGCAACGAUGCUUAUGGAUCACGCGCCUUGCGUUACUUUUCUUGGACAAACUUCAGAAGGCAUUAAGAUCCACAGAAGCUAGUGGACCAGUCCUUGGCAAAAGCUGACCUGAAUUUGAAUCCUGAGGCCCUUCUUGCUCAAUGAGUUUGGGAUUUGAUGAUUGUGCAGAAAAAAAAAAAAAAAAAACUGAUGUUAAAUUAAAUUUUAUUUUAUUUUUUGUUGCAGGUACUUUCUGUUACCCUUUCAAUAACUAGAGUAUUCUACGCCCACUGUCUUCCCUGAAGGUUUUUUUUUUUUUUUUCCCUAGCUGGGAUCCAAGGAAAAAGGAAUCCCUGUUUGGCCUUUGAGGUUCAAAGCAGGCCUUUGAAACUCAGGGCAAGGACUACAGUCUUGAGUAAAAAGGCUUUUUGAGUUUCAAGAGCCAACGUUCUUUGAGUUUCAAAAGACCCAAAUCCCAUGCGAAACAAAAGGCCUAGAAGAAUGGGCUCGCUGAUCUGUGAGAAUAAGGUUUUCUUCUGCCGUCCAAACAUCCCACAAGCUGGUGGGAAGGAGCGGAGGAGAAAUCUGAGGGUUAGAAUCUGGUCAAGGAUACGCACAGAAGCCAAGUCCAGUGGGACGCAAGGGUUAGGACUAUAACUGAAGAUAUGAAGGGACAGGGGAACCUCUUUUCAUCCCAAAUGGAGCCCAGCAACGUCAACAGGAUUCGAGAAUUCUCCAGCACCCUCCUGAGGGGCAACACCAGCCUGGGGCUAUGGACGAGACCCCCAAGAGGCUAGGAUUCUUGGAUCUGGAGACACUGCGUGGAUAAAGGCUGAGGCUGGUGCUGCCUUCUGCCAUUCAAGAGAGCACUGGGAGUUCCCGUUGUGGCUCAACAGGUUAAGGAUCCAAUGUUAACUCCAUGAGGAUGUGGGUUCCAUCUCUGGCCUCGCUCAGGGGGUUCAAGGAUCUGGUAUUGCCACGAGUGGUGGGGUAGGUCGCAGACAUGGCUCAGAUCUGGUGUUGCUGUGGCUGUGGUGUCGGCUGGCAGCUGCAGCUCUGAUUCGACCCCUAGCCUGG
rnacentral:lncRNA from 1 species